UACGUAGGGUGCGAGCGUUGUCCGGAAUUAUUGGGCGUAAAGAGCUCGUAGGCGGUCUGUCGCGUCGGCUGUGAAAACUCGGGGCUCAACCCCGAGCCUGCAGUCGAUACGGGCAGACUAGAGUGCUGUAGGGGAGACUGGAAUUCCUGGUGUAGCAGUGAAAUGCGUAGAUAUCAAGUGGAACACCAGUGGCGAAGGCGAAUCCCUGGAAAAUACCUGACACUGAGGCACGAAAGCUAGGGGAGCAAACAGG
rnacentral:rRNA from 1 species